rnacentral:tRNA from 1 species
GUGGGCGUGGCCGAGUGGUUAAGGCGAUGAGAAAUGAUCCAUUGGAGUCUCCCCGCACAGGUUCGAAUCCUGUCGACUGCG